CCCCGCCAUGGGCACCCCCCACAUCCCAACCCUUCUGCAGGGACAGAAGCACGGCGCAGAGAUCCCUGAGGAAUGAAGGUGGUGGCUGAAGGCUGAGAUGCGGUGGCUGCAGCGCGACACAGCAGGGGCCAUGGAUGUACCCACGACUUGAGCAUUGACAGUGAAAGUCCCAGUGCCCCACAUGAUGUUAUGAUGUGGAAUACCGAAAGCCAAAAAUCACAAAACCACGAUGCUGUCCUGACAGCUGCUUCUGCUGUCACAACUACUUGGAACGGUCCUUCGCAGUUGGGUUGCAGCUUUGCCUCCUUGGUCUGGAUGAGCACCCAGCCUCCAGGUUGGGAUGGAUGAAUCGGAAAUUGCAGAGGCGAUGAUUGUGCCAGCAGUCCUCGGGUCCUGAGAGAGGAUAGUGAGGAAGACAGUCUGAGUCUGCGGUUCUUAAGGAACGCAUCUUGAGUUUCAAACUGCGGUACCUCAUUUUUCUUUCCCAGAUAUGGGAACCCGAAUAAAAUUUCCUAUGGAGAAACCCCCACAGCCUGUCUUGGUGCUGUACGGAUUCGGAGAAGGGCCAGAGGCAAGCAUUUGGUCCAACGGAGUCAAGUCUCUAUGGCCAACUUGUGAGGAGCUUCUGUAUUCUCUGACUCGAUCUUUCUGCUUUUCCUGAUGACGGCAGGUGCCAGGGACAGCAAGGAAGAACGAGUGUGAGGUGCCUGAGCUGGUGUCUGACAGAGCGUGGCUCAGUUCUCCUUUUCGCUCGAGGAUGAUGUGGCACUGGAACAGGCUGCCCGGAGAAGCUGUGGAUGCCCCAUCCCUGAGGUGUUCAAGGCCAGGUCGGACGGAGCCCUGGGCAGCCUGGUCUCGGCCUCCAUCUAGCGUUUGGCAAAACUCUGUCUGCGAGAUGGGGAAUGGCUCCCAGUGAUCCUUGAGCUCCCUUCCAACCCAACCCAUUCCAUGAUUCUGUUUUGCCAUUACUCCAAAGCCCAAGUUAGCCACUGGUCUUCACAAAGAAGUUGCUGUUGUUCUACGUGACUCCAUCCUGCUUAAGUGGAUGAACCCACUCUCAUGAUUGACUUCUUGAGAGAGCCCUACCUGAAGCAGUUAGUCACCCAGCCUUCCGUGGAUUGCUUAUUCUGGUUCAUCAGCAUACAAUGGAAUACUCUAGCUUACAUAAAGCUGUACUGUCUUUUAGACCUUCCUGUCUUUUAGAGCUGGCCUGGGGCCCUUCUGCUGGCCAGGGGCUUCGCCAUGACCUAGGGCUGCAGCCCACGUCUUGUGGGCAUGAUUUCUGUCCCUCUGUCCUCUGCUUCCAACAGUCUAGAAGAAAGAUCUCGCCAUUCUUGAAGCGCUUGGAGUCCACAGGCUCCGAGGCAGGGGGAGUCAGUCCCUCCUACUGGGGAGCAUCGUGGGGCUUUGGGGUCACAUUGGCUGCCCUGGUUGGAGUAGAUUCAGCAGGAAUACUUCCCAGGCACCGUGGCCCUGAGCCCAAGCCCACUGUCCCCAAGAAGUGCCCCAGCCCGACACCGUGCCCUUGUGCUCUGCUUGUCCAGUGGGCCUCAGAGGGAUGUCCCAAAAUAUGGGCAGGGAGGCCAAAGCUCUGGGUCAGAGCUCUCACAGGGGUUUAUUAGGAACCAAUACCGAUGCGCAGCAUAAGAGCAAGAGGAACAAAACGUGGAAGAACUGCAUGGCUGUUUCUGACACCCCUGUGAAAAGAGCUCCUGGCGCUCACGGCUCUCCCAGCGGCACCGACCUCUCCUUUGUGCCUACAUCCAACUUCAUGGCAGGGACAGAGCCUCUUGUCCCAGAGCUCACAUCCCAGAGCUCUGCUGUCGCAGCCUGUGUGUGCAAUGGGGUUAUGGCAGAGACGUCUCGUCAGUGUCGUCGUAGCCCGUGCUCCCACGGGACAGAGGUGAGGUGUCUCCAUCCACUUCGGGGGCCCCGGCACUUCUCCAGGAGCGCAGACUCUCUCCUGCCAGCAGCAAAGACAACUGUUUGCCCCACAGGGUGCUCCUCCUGGCUGGCCCAUCACUUUUCUCCUCCGUGGGACAUUCAGCCCGUUCUCCCAGUCCCUUUCUCCCCGCGAAACCUCCUGAGGAAAGUUCCUCAACCAUGAGCUGUGGCUCUCACUGCCGCACCAGGGACGGCACCCAGCAAGCUGCAGCACUGCAUUUCCCUCUCACCUCCGGCAGCAUCCCUGGGUCCCUCUGCCUCCUCCUGUCCCCGAGGCACUGGCCAGUCUCCCUGCCCUGGCACAGGAGGCUCUCCAGGCUCAGAAACCUCCCCGGCAUCAUCAUAGCCCUCCACCGGGGAAUCGCCGGGCAGAACAGGGAUGUCUGUAAGAGAGAGGAGAGCAGUGAUAGCAGUGACAAGAUCCUCCUCCUCCCAUUUCCCCAGAGAAGGGCUCCCCAGAUCUCCUGGAGUCUGGGGACAGAGACGAGACCCUGCUGUGCUUCCCCAGCCUCCUUCUGCCGCUUCUCCCCUCACUCCGCCAUGAACUCCCCCUCCACUGGGCUCUGCAUUGCUUGUUGCUGGAUGUCAGCGCAGCAUCCCACGCACACGCUGAGCCAGGACCUACCUCUGUGCCGAGCUCUGGCACUUUGCAUCUGCCUUGCCAGGAGGGCCAGGAGGAGGCCAACAAGGAGCCCCAGGAUGAUGCAGAUGAUGACAGGCACCGAGACUCUCCUGCUGACGGUCGCGUAGCCCAGCGUGGGGUAUGCAGGGGCAGCAAUGUGGCAGGAGCAGCACCAGGCACGUGUGAGAGUUGGGGCAGUAAGGGGUAGAGGGGCAGGGAGUGCAGAUGGGGAACCUCCAAGCCCGUGGGGUACAUGAUGGCCCUCCCCAUACAUCCACCAGCCCAGUGCCUCUUCCUGGGCACUUCGUAUCCCAGAAAGAAGCCCCCGUUCUGGGUCCUGGGGAGACCCAGCUCCAGUGGGAGGAGGUGUUACCUCUUUGUGGGGGGGAUGCUGUCAUCCUGGGUGCAGCUGCAGAGAAGAGCUGAGCUGAGAGGCGCCGCCACCCGCAGUGCGGGCCCAGCAGUCCUGCAGAGAUGGCUCCGUGCCCCUGCACUCCACCUGCUCCAGCCAGAUGGGGUCCUGUCCCCUCCCCAAACGCAGCCUCGGCCAGGGCAGACAGCGCAGGGCCGCAGCCCAGCUGCCUGCACGCCACCUCGGCAUCCUGCACGUCCCACGAGUUGUCGCACACGGUUCCCCAGGAGCCGCGGUGCCAGACCUCCACUCUGCCCGAGCACCCGUCCUUGCCUCCCACAGCGUGGAUCU